GGUGACUAGUGAUGGCGGGGUGACUAGUGAGGGAGGGUGUGACUAGUGACAGAAUGAGGGAGAGAGUGACUAGUGACAGAGGGAGGGAGUGACUAGUGACAGAGUGAGGGAGGUGGUGACUGUCACUAGUCACCCCAUCCCUCCCUCUGUCACUAGUCACUCCCUCCCUAACUCUGUCACUAGUCAUCCCCUCACUCUGUCACUAGUCACCCCAUCCCUCCCUCUGUCACUGUGUCACCCCAUCCCUCCCUCUGUCACUAGUCAUCCCCUCCCUUACUCUGUCACUAGUCACCCCGUCCCUCACU